GAAGGGAGGAAGGGAGGUGGAGAGGGUGAAGGAGACAAACAAGAAGAGGACUUGACUGCCUCUGCUUCUUCGUUUUGGAAGACUCCAUGUUGGAGGGAAAUCCAAGCUGUCGAGUGGAAAGGCCCAUCUAGAGAAAGACUGAGGCCCUCAGUUGGCACAUCCAGAUGACUUCCAAAUUCACACAGAGCUUUUGGAAGGUCCUUGUCAUCACAAAGAUGGCUUAGCCAAUGACAUACAGGGCAAAGACAGUCACUCCCAUUCAGCUGUGCAAACUGUAAGCCCCAAGCAUCGUGUUUGCCCAGACACUUCUGAAAAGAGAUCUAAUAGAGAAAAUAUACAAAGCAUUUGAGAGCUUCACCGCCAUGGAGAGCCCAAGUCUGACCCGAGGUGCCAAAGCCUCUCCCAGGCUCAAGGCUGAGGGCGACCAGCACGAACAUCAGUAAAAACAUGCAAAAGAAGGAGAAGGAGAAACAUCACGCACCCCUGGACAGUGGGGAUAGAUCCGGAACGGAAGAGGAAGCAGGGAUGAAAGUACCAGGUGGCUCUCCUUCCCGCUUCCAUCUUUUCCAGUAGCCCUGGCAUGGAGGAAGGCAUGUGCUCCACCCACUGCCCAGGGCCUGCAGCUCACAGCUGAUGACUUCUGUACCCACCUGCUCCUGUGUUCCUAGGUGCCAGGCCAGGGCGGCCCAGCUCCUCAUUUCUUUGGUUCCACUCAGAGAACAGUUGUGCUUAGCAGACUCAUCCCACCCCCAAACUCCAGGCUCCUGCCGGCGGGACGAAGGCACUGACAUGAAUCCCAGGGAGAGCCCAGGAUAGCUACCUGCUCUUGUGCUCUGAUGGGUCCAACCCAGGACACAUUUCCCCACCCUUAGUCCACACUUAGGCCUAAGAACCAGGAGAACAGAGGAAGUGUGCUGUGCAUGAAGAAAGUCUUUGGGGACUUGCCCAAAUGUGGGGGUGCUAUUUCUGAACCCCAUACCAAGCCUCAUCCAUGCUCUUGCCCCUGCCCCGGGCUUUCACAUAUCCAGCCCCUCCCUUUAGUCCUUCCCCUUGGCCCAGCCACUGGGGAGCUGAAUUAAAACAACGAUUACAGAAACCA